AUUAUAUUGGUGCGAAAUUAAUUCGAAUAUCAAUUUCCUGUAAAGUAAUGAAGUUCACAAAACCCAGGAUAUAACAUGUAUGAUAUCCCAUUCGAAAUAAUGGUAAUUAACGACCGCCAAUCAUGGAUCAACAAAAAACUUCUGCAAGCUCUAAAUGUAUCUCUCUGGUACAAACAUGGUUCGAAGCAAGGAGCUAGUCUGGGCAUUCCUGGACCAAAAUGCAAGAUCUCCAUACCUCUAGGAACAUCACUCACCUUUUCUUAAGCGCCCUUGAAGUCCUGAAAGCUAUUGAGUGGACGUCCAAACGCAAAAGCAGCUUGUCUUUGAAUCAUGGAUAUUCUAAAUUAUAGUUUUAGAAAA